GGAAGCUGCAUCCAGAUUGCAAACUGUAUUGGACUUAUGGGGGCUCUGUUCAUUGGAAUCCCUGUCGGAGAAAUUGCAGGCUGGUGGCGCAUCUGUUUCUGGGUAUCUGCAAUUCCUGCUAGAAUACUUGCACUUGCCAUGGGGUUCUGUGCAGAGUCUCCACAUUGGCUAUACAAGCAAGGAAGAAGCACUGAAGCUGAAAUUGAAUUUGAGAAGCUUUUAGGUGGAGCACAUGUCAAAUUUGCAAUGCAAGAGUUAUCCAAAUUAGAUAGAGGGGAUGACACAGACACUAUGAAGCUCUCUGAAUUGUUUUGUGGUCGCUAUUUUAGAGUUGUUUUUAUUGGAUCAACC
rnacentral:misc_RNA from 1 species